AUGCUUCUCCUAAAGACUAAGCCAUGCAUGCUCUGAAUAUGAGGAAGCAAUUCUCUCUGAAUCUGCGAACGGCUCCGCAAACCAGUUGUAAACCACUGCAAGCCUGCACGGGUUGGGCUUCGGCCUGGCCUGGGCGAUACGGAUAACCCUGGUAAUUCUAAGGCUAAUACGUGUAUGGAACACCCGGUGGACCGGCUUCGGCUGGGAAAUCGGGAGACGAGUGAUGGAAUGUUUGGAUUACCAGGAACGGGCG
rnacentral:rRNA from 1 species